AUGCUCACUUCGGCAGCACAUUUACUAAAAUUGGAAAAAUAUAAAGAAGAUUAGCAAGACCCCUGCACAAGGAUGAUCUGCAAAUUUAUGAAACAUUCCAUGUUUUG